GCCUGGGUGGCUCAGUCGGUUGAGCGUCCGACUUCAGCUCAGGUCGUGAUUUCCGGGUCUGUGGGUUUGAGCCCCGCAUCGGGCU
rnacentral:tRNA from 1 species